UACGUAGGGGGCAAGCGUUGUCCGGAUUCAUUGGGCGUAAAGGGUGCGUAGGUGGCGCUGUAAGUCGGGUGUGAAAUUUCGGAGCUUAACUCCGAAACUGCAUUCGAUACUGCGGUGCUCGAGGACUGGAGAGGAGACUGGAAUUCAUGGUGUAGCAGUGAAAUGCGUAGAGAUCAUGAGGAAGACCAGUGGCGAAGGCGGGUCUCUGGACAGUUCCUGACACUGAGGCACGAAGGCCAGGGGAGCAAACGGG
rnacentral:rRNA from 1 species